rnacentral:rRNA from 1 species
GGUUUCCGUAGGUGAACCUGCGGAAGGAUCAUUAAUG